UGCAUGGUUUUAUGUGCAUGUAUGUGUACC
rnacentral:piRNA from 1 species